rnacentral:rRNA from 1 species
CAGUAGCCGCGGUAACACGUAGGUGGCAAGCGUUGUCCGGAAUUAUUGGGCGUAAAGGGCUCGCAGGCGGUUUCUUAAGUCUGAUGUGAAAGCCCCCGGCUCAACCGGGGAGGGUCAUUGGAAACUGGGAAACUUGAGUGCAGAAGAGGAGAGUGGAAUUCCACGUGUAGCGGUGAAAUGCGUAGAGAUGUGGAGGAACACCAGUGGCGAAGGCGACUCUCUGGUCUGUAACUGACGCUGAGGAGCGAAAGCGUGGGGAGCGAACAGGAUUAGAGACCCCUGUAGUCCCUGUCUCUUAUAC